rnacentral:rRNA from 1 species
GAUGAACGCUGGCGGCGUGCCUAAUACAUGCAAGUCGAGCGAGCGGACGAGAAGCUUGCUUCUCUGAUGUUAGCGGCGGACGGGUGAGUAACACGUGGAUAACCUACCUAUAAGACUGGGAUAACUUCGGGAAACCGGAGCUAAUACCGGAUAAUAUUUUGAACCGCAUGGUUCAAAAGUGAAAGACGGUCUUGCUGUCACUUAUAGAUGGAUCCGCGCUGCAUUAGCUAGUUGGUAAGGUAACGGCUUACCAAGGCAACGAUGCAUAGCCGACCUGAGAGGGUGAUCGGCCACACUGGAACUGAGACACGGUCCAGACUCCUACGGGAGGCAGCAGUAGGGAAUCUUCCGCAAUGGGCGAAAGCCUGACGGAGCAACGCCGCGUGAGUGGUGAAGGUCUUCGGAUCGUAAAACUCUGUUAUUAGGGAAGAACAUAUGUGUAAGUAACUGUGCACAUCUUGACGGUACCUAAUCAGAAAGCCACGGCUAACUACGUG